UAAGAAUUAAUAACCAGCAUCUUGUCUCUUUAUUACCAGCCACCUUCUAUGUCGGCCUGGGGCUAUACGGUGCAGUACAGAUUGCAUCUGUACUCCUCUUCAUCUUCUGCUACAAGCAGAUGAAGAAAUGCUGCCGAGGCCUGGGCACCCGACUGGAGGAGGUGGUUGCGGAGAAGCCAGUCCUUAGAGCGGCAGCAAGUUACAUACAAGAAAAGUCCCGACUAGCAAAACAGUGCUUUCAUCGUGGAAGAAGAACCAAAGUCCUG